rnacentral:lncRNA from 10 species
CUACUUGAUGCCCUUUAUAUUAAGAGGACUUUCUACUUUGGCUGAGAGAAUGUGAGGUAUACCUUAUUAUGCCUGACCCCUUGGAACAUGAGAGGUUCCACCUGCUUCUUUCUGGUGACUCUUCUCCUGGCCUUGGUUACCAUGCACUUACCAGUACUCAGCCUGAGAGAGAGAUAACAGCUGCCUUUGUGCAGCUUUGUCCUCUCUGGUACUUGACCCUGGGAAUGCUACUGCUCUUAAG